rnacentral:rRNA from 1 species
GAUGAACGCUGGCGGCGUGCCUAAUACAUGCAAGUCGAGCGAACGGACGAGAAGCUUGCUUCUCUGAUGUUAGCGGCGGACGGGUGAGUAACACGUGGAUAACCUACCUAUAAGACUGGGAUAACUUCGGGAAACCGUAGCUAAUACCGGAUAAUAUUUUGAACCGCAUGGUUCAAAAGUGAAAGACGGUCUUGCUGUCACUUAUAGAUGGAUCCGCGCUGCAUUAGCUAGUUGGUAAGGUAACGGCUUACCAAGGCAACGAUGCAUAGCCGACCUGAGAGGGUGAUCGGCCACACUGGAACUGAGACACGGUCCAGACUCCUACGGGAGGCAGCAGUAGGGAAUCUUCCGCAAUGGGCGAAAGCCUGACGGAGCAACGCCGCGUGAGUGAUGAAGGUCCUCGGAUCGUAAAACCCUGUUAUUAGGGAAGAACAUAUGUGUAAGUAACUGUGCACAUCUUGACGGUACCCAAUCAGAAAGCCACGGCUAACUACGUG